CUUCACAUAUCAACCAUGGGGAAUAGCCUGGGACCCAUCAACAUUAUUUGGUAAGAAGAUCUCCCAACCCCAUAUCCAUUCUGUAAGAAACUCUGAAAAUAAGCAAAAGAAAACUAUCAGCAUUCGGAUUCCAAUUAUUGAAAUCUCUAAUAAGCGUAGCCGACUGCAGGAUUAGAAUGGUUUGACAAACCUCUAUCAGCUUCAUUAAUUCUCAUGCUUUGACAAGCUACAGUUUAGAAGUUUCUCUAUUAAUCCAAAAAUUUUAGACUACAUUAAUUGGAAGAGGAAAAACAGGAAUGAGCAUUUUACAUUAUAGUUAAUAUAUUAGUAUUAUAUCAAUGUUGGAUGCUUCUACCCAUAACUUACAAUAUAAUUGAUCUUAACUUGGCCUGUAGUAAGAUACAUAGCAGAAGUAGCACAUAUCUGCUAGAUUCCUUUGCUAGGAGCAGAAGUAGCACAUAUCUGCUAGAUUCAUUUGCUAAGUUUUUUAUACUGCAAAAAUUGCAGAAUGAAAUGAUGAACACAUGCCAAAAAUAAUUAGCUACUAAAAUGUACAUAAAUGGAACUAAAAAAAGAUUCCUCAACCCAAAAAAAUAAAAAUAAAGAACUCUUGCUCAACACAAAAAGAUACAUAGCUCACCACAAUUUUAUUUUUAUUUUUUCUUACAAUUUCAGCACAUGAUUACAAUAAAAAAGGACA
rnacentral:lncRNA from 1 species